GUAAAUACAUGGGUCUGGGGCCCAAUUCCUCACACCAGGAGAUCAACUCGCAUGCCAAGUCAUCUCCAACAGGUUUAAAAAUUCCCUCCACUUGCGACCGGUGGACAAACCUCCGUCGCGCCGGAGCUCAUCGCCGGCGACGACGAAGCUCUAAACACCAAAAUCAAAUGCCAAACUGACCAUCACCACCUCACUGUCCUAAAUCAAAUGUCCAAAUGAAAUUACCCUAAACCUCCUAACCAGAUCGAGCUCAGAGGUGCAAGAACCUUAAAACGAUUUCCAGAAAUUAAAUGAGCCAUGACGAAGAUCAAAGACUUCUAGGUUAGGGCUUUGAUCUCCCUAACCUGAUACUACAUUGUGGUAACCAAAACGGAGCGGAACCAGAAAGUUCGAACAAAAUACCUGCCGGAGAUGAUGCCGGAGAUGACGACGAUAGCAACGACGACCUCAGGUUUUCUAUUUACUUAUGGAUAUCCAAACUGGAUUGCCUUGGGGUUGGUUUAACUAAAUGAUUUGGAUUCUACAGGUUCUCCAAUCUUGUACUUACUCUGCCAUUCGAUUUUCCAAUGCAAGUGCCACUGACUCAAGUGUUUUGCACAAUUUGAAUCAGAAGCUUGGAUAGUACAUUCUUGAAUUGGUCUUGCCCUUAUGAUGUGGUUUUUUCCAUUGGAUUAGGACUCUGUCUUUAAUAAAUGGUGACAUUGCUUUGGUUUUAGUUCAAUUAUGAACAACUUGAUGAUAAGUAGUGAUGUAUGUCCCGCAGUAGGUGUUCUUGGAUGGUGCACUGAUGAUGCUUGAUUGACAGUAGAAUGUUUACUGUGUUAUAAUGCAGGUGGAGUGGUUUUCCAAUUUCCUCUGACUGAACCAUGAUGUAGGACCUUGAAUCGGUUUGUGUUGCAGAGCUAGACUUGUAAGGUGUGACAAUUCCUGCUUGCUUUUUCCAUAUUUUGCUACAGGUUUUGAAGCAUGAUGGUAUUUCUCAAUUGUAUUUAUUGUUGCAAAUGGUAAGAUGGACUUGCUUGGUUGUCUGCACAGUUGUAUUUUCAUUUCCAUUAUUCUGUUUCAGAUUGCCAAUUGUUGUGGAUUUUGUUGUCCUGUACUGUUGGCUUCCAGGUGGCCUGGUAUUCAUGCAGCUGAUUCAGGAUGCUCAUGAUGGUGGUUAAAUGGCCAAAUGCAGGUUUUGCAGUUCAUAUGAUGGCUUAUGACAGUUUGGGUAUGAAUUGCUGUUUCAUGUAUGCCUUGAUUCAUGUGGUCUUGGUUUUGCAUUAGGAUAUAUGGCUUCAUGGCAUGUUUUGCUUGUGGCAUUGCAACAUUAGUUAAGGCUUAUUGAUCAGAUACUGAUAUGGUUAGAUGGUCCCAAGCAGGGAGAUAGUCAUUGCCAGCCUGCUACAUGACUACAACUUCUUGUUCAUGGUCAUUACAAGGUGCAUUUGUUACAAGUUUGCAAGGUUCAAAGUAUCAUUCCAUUGUGCAAUUGACAUUCAACUUGGUGUAAUCAAUGGAACUGCCUUGGCCUACACUAGUUCUGCAUGAUAUUCUGUAUGGACUUGUUUUUGUGAAUGGUUUAACUUUGUUCCAAAGAAAACCAAGGCUUAUGUUCACACAUGCUCCAUGGUGUGACUCACUUGCAGAUCUGUCUGGGCAUGGGGAUGACUGAUUGUGUUUGCAACAAUAGACAUGGUUUGACUCAUGUGCAAUUCAAGGUUGUGCUGCUCCAGUUUGCAACAAGGUAAUGGCUUUGGACUUGUUGCCUUGGGCAUCGAUGGCUUUUCCUGCCUCUACUAGCAUGCUUUGUCGCAAAUAUUCAUGGCAUCACCCACUGCUUUGGCUUUAUGCAUAUGAAAUGGACAAAAGAGGCAUGUCAUCAACAUGUACAAAUGGCUAACCAUGUGAUCAAGUACCAAAUAUUGAAGAUUAAGGAUGAAAUUGGGAUUAGUUUUUUUAGGAUCUUUUGGGGAUUGGGUUGACUUUGGUCAAUGUUGACCAAAAAGUCAACUGUUGACCAAAGUCAACAUGGGGUCAAACUUCCAUUUUUUGUAUUUCUUGAUGUAAUGAACAUUCUUGUGCAAUGUAAAUGAUUAUUUGGGAUGAAUUUGGUGAUUA